GAAGAGCUAUGAGCUGUUAACCUCAGACAAGAUCUAGAGGUCACUUUAAAGCCAAAGGGCUAUAAACAAGACAUGGAUUUAUCAGUUAUGGGAACGACAUCUUGAUGGCCGAUAGAAAGCAAGCAGAGAAAAACAGCAGGCAAGAGGCUGACAGAAGGUAGAACCCCAAGUGCGUGCAGACAGUGCACACACAGACCAGAUGGCGACGGCAACAGUGGGAGAUGUGGGUGCUCAAGGAGGAUGUCUUACUGAAUGUGGUGCUGAUGGGAUUUGGAGAGUAAUCAAGGGUGAGUCCCAGGCUACUAGGUAAGCUGGCAUAUAGCAUAUACUGGGGUGACAAGCACUACAGGAAGAAUAGCUUUGGGGGAGUGAGUUGGCUAAUAAGGUUUCAGAAUUCCCAAGUGGGGUUCUGUGUGGAAACUGAAUAUAUAGAUGUGGAAUUCUGGGGAAGCUACUAUUGAUAUAUAGAUCUCAUAGUGCUAUGGGAGGGCUAGACUUCCCUUGAAGAUAUGAAGUAAAACGGCUGGUACAGUACAGGAUCUCUAGCAGCAACACUGCAGGAGCUUAUAAGGGAAGAGAAACUUGCAAAGGAUGCGGAUGAGCCAUGGCUAAGGUGGAAAACAACAAAAACAAAGCAAAGCAAAGCAAAGCAGUGCAUGGAAA
rnacentral:lncRNA from 1 species